rnacentral:tRNA from 1 species
GGAGAGGUGGCCGAGUGGCUGAAGGCGGCAGAUUGCUAAUCUGUUGAUGCGGGUAAACCGUAUCCGCGGGUUCGAAUCCCGCCCUCUCCGCCA